rnacentral:rRNA from 1 species
UACGGGGGGGCAAGCGUUGUUCGGAAUUACUGGGCGUAAAGGGCUCGUAGGUGGCCAACUAAGUCAGACGUGAAAUCCCUCGGCUUAACCGGGGAACUGCGUCUGAUACUGGAUGGCUUGAGUUUGGGAGAGGGAUGCGGAAUUCCAGGUGUAGCGGUGAAAUGCGUAGAUAUCUGGAGGAACACCGGUGGCGAAGGCGGUUCUCUGGGCCUUACCUGACGCUGAGGAGCGAAAGCGUGGGGAGCGAACAG